GACGAACGCUGGCGGCGUGCUUAACACAUGCAAGUCGAACGGAAAGGCCCUGCUGUGGUGUCGUGCUCGAAUGGCGAAAGUGUGAGGAACACGUGCGUAACCUCCCCUUGACUUUGGCAUAACUUCCUGGAACUGGGGCUAAUACCGGAUACGCGCUCCUGCGUCAUUGUGGGGGUUGGAAAGUUUCGGCGGAUGGGGAUGGGCUCGCGGCGUAUCAGCUUGUGGGUGGGGUAGUGGCUUACCAAGGCUUUGACGGGUAGCCGGCCUGAGAGGGUGACCGGCCACAUUGGGACUGAGAUACGGCCCAGACUCCUACGGGAGGCAGCAGUGGGGAAUAUUGCACAAUGGGCGGAAGCCUGAUGCAGCAACGCCGCGUGCGGGAUGACGGCCUUCGGGUUGUAAACCGCUUUCGCCUGGGACGAAGCGUGAGUGACGGUAAUGGGUGAAGAAGCACCGGCCAACUACGUG
rnacentral:rRNA from 1 species